GUAGGGAGGGACCCCUGAGGCACUCUGGGGGAUGCAGUUUCCUCAACCAUCGCACCCCCUCCCCCCACUUCAAAGCCACAGGAUCUAUUGAACUGAAUUGAUCAUACUGGCUUCCGAAGGGGAAAUGAAGUUCCUUCCGAUACCUGGGAAGCUGUAAUGCCAGAGUAUUGGUUAAUGGGCAAUUGAAGCAGCUUUGGUAUAAUGGAUGAGAUAUCAUGAUUGCAACUCCUGCCUUCUUUCUAUCAAAAACCUCAACCUUUAAUUCCAACCCUGAUAAGAUAGAAUUCAAGACCCCAAUGGAUCUGGACGCUCUUGCCUCUCAGAAUUGAUUUCACUUCUAUAUCAGUGGCUGCUGAGGAGAGGAAGAGUCCUGCUUCUAGAUUGCCACCAUGCUUACCCAGAAGUCCUGUGUAUAUCCUUUGAUCCAACAACGCCACUAUUUGUCAAGCAUCCCAAAGAGAUCAACAGAAAAAAGAUCUAUAUGAACAAGAAUACUUAUUAUAGCUCUCUUUUUGUAGCAAAUCAUUAGAAAAAAGAUAAUAAGUGCUUUCCAAAUGGGGAAUUAGUGAAUAAAUUGAGGUAUGAAAAUGUAAAGAUAGAGACUGGAUCUGUGAUUUCAUAAUUAUAGGUAACUCCCUCUAAAAUGUAGGUCAGCACCUUCUCUGUAACUUAAUCUUAAAUGGAUGCUUAGAGCAUUAAGUAAUUCAAAUGAUUUGCCCAGAGACACAUAGCCAGUAUAAAUUAUAGGCUGGACUUACACCCAGAUCUUGUUGGUUUUAAGGACUGCAUGUUAUUCAUUAUACCACAUUUUCCUUCAUAUGAAAAUAGUGGGAUUUUAUUACAUAAUAAGAAAUGAGAAACUUGAUUAAUUCAGAGAAAUGUGGAGAGUCUUGUAAGAUUUGAUGCAGAAAAGUUAGUAGAGUCAGAACAAUUUACAUGUUUACCGUAACAA